AUUGAACGCUGGCGGCAGGCUUAACACAUGCAAGUCGAGCGAGCGGCGGACGGGUGGGUAAUUUCUGGGCAACUGCCUGAUGGAGGGGGCUAACUACUGGAAACGGUAGCUAAUACCGCUUACCCUCAGAUGUGCCCAGAUGGGAUUAGCUAGUCGGUGGGGUAAUGGCUCACCUAGGCGACGAUCCCUAGCUGGUCUGAGAGGAUGACCAGCCACACUGGAACUGAGACACGGCCCAGACUCCUACGGGAGGCAGCAGUGGGGAAUAUUGCACAAUGGGCGCAAGCCUGAUGCAGCCAUGCCGCGUGUGUGAAGAAGGCCUUCGGGUUGUAAAGCACUUUCAGCGAGGAGGCGUUACCCGCAGAAGAAGCACCGGCUAACUCCGUGCCAGCAGCCGCGGUAAUUC
rnacentral:rRNA from 1 species